UGUUGCGGCCAAUCGCCUCGUCGUCCGAUCGUCGGGGAGCGUGCACCUGCAAAAGGAAGUCCGCACUGACCGGAGGCGGCUCCGGCGGGGACCCUCCGAUGGUCAAGUCAGAGAGGUGACUGGGCAACAGUAAAAUGCAGACAGAGAGCUCUGAGAGAGAGAGAGAGGGAGAGAGGAGCGAGCCUGCGUAUGUGGGAGAGACGGGCGGAUCGAUCCCUUGCACUGUUGCCUUCCCCGGUAUAUAUAGUGGAGCUAAGUAUGGCGCCGUCAUUAAUGGCGCGGACA
rnacentral:lncRNA from 1 species